rnacentral:rRNA from 1 species
AGAGUUUGAUCCUGGCUCAGAAUCAACGCUGGCGGCGUGCCUAACACAUGCAAGUCGAACGAGAAAGUGGAGCAAUCCAUGAGUAAAGUGGCGCACGGGUGAGUAACACGUGACUAACCUACCCUUGAGUGGGGGAUAACCUAGGGAAACCUGGGCUAAUACCGCAUAAUACCUUCGGGUCAAAGGAGCAAUUCGCUUAAGGAGGGGGUCGCGGCCGAUUAGUUAGUUGGCGGGGUAAUGGCCCACCAAGACUGUGAUCGGUAUCCGGCCUGAGAGGGCGCACGGACACACUGGAACUGAAACACGGUCCAGACUCCUACGGGAGGCAGCAGUGGGGAAUUUUGCGCAAUGGGGGAAACCCUGACGCAGCAACGCCGCGUGGAGGAUGAAGCCCCUUGGGGCGUAAACUCCUUUCGAUCGGGACGAUAAUGACGGUACCGGAAGAAGAAGCCC